GGGUAGGUACCGAAGUGGUCAAACGGGGCAGACUGUAAAUCUGCUGGCUUACGCCUUCAAAGGUUCGAAUCCUUUCCUGCCCACCA
rnacentral:tRNA from 1 species